UACGUAGGCAGCGAGCGUUGUUCGGAGUUACUGGGCGUAAAGCGUGCGUAGGCGGUGUCUUAAGUUUGUUGUGAAAUCUCCCGGCUUAACCGGGAGGGUGCGGCGAAUACUGAGAUGCUGGAGUGCCGGAGAGGUAAGCGGAAUUCCUGGUGUAGCGGUGAAAUGCGUAGAUAUCAGGAAGAACACCGGUGGCGAAAGCGCUCUGCUAGGCCGCAACUGACACUGAGGGACGAAAGCUAGGGGAGCGAAUGGG
rnacentral:rRNA from 1 species